rnacentral:rRNA from 1 species
UGGGGAAUCUUGCGCAAUGGGCGAAAGCCUGACGCAGCCAUGCCGCGUGAAUGAUGAAGGUCUUAGGAUUGUAAAAUUCUUUCAGCAGGGACGAUAAUGACGGUACCUGCAGAAGAAGCCCCGGCUAACUUCGUGCCAGCAGCCGCGGUAAUACGAAGGGGGCUAGCGUUGCUCGGAAUUACUGGGCGUAAAGGGCGCGUAGGCGGGUCGUUUAGUUAGAGGUGAAAGCCCAGGGCUCAACCCUGGAAUUGCCUUUAAUACUGGCGGCCUUGAGUAUGGCAGAGGUGUGUGGAACUCCGAGUGUAGAGGUGAAAUUCGUAGAUAUUCGGAAGAACACCAGUGGCGAAGGCGACACACUGGGCCAUUACUGACGCUGAGGCGCGUAAGCGUGGGGAGCAAACAG